rnacentral:lncRNA from 1 species
AAAUUUCCCACAAUAACUGCAAGUGACUAAAAAGAUGCUGUGUCUUUCAUCCCUGUCUCUGUCAUCAUCAUGCUUUCUUAACUAACAUAAUUUUUGAGAAAUAUUGGGAAAAUGCCAACAAAGAAAUAUAAUUUGAAAUUCCACCAUCCAGAGAAAAUCACUUUUCCUAGGGAAUAGAGACAUCUUCCAACUUAUGCAAUUUAUACAAUCAUCUGUUUUUCAAAGGUCUUAAGUAAAUCAUAUUUCAUAUACAUUGAAAUGCUUUCGAUUUGCUUCUGCGGCUUUUUGUAUCACCAUUCAUGGUGUUACAGUUCCUUUUUAAAAUGAUUUAAAAAAAAAAAAAAGACAAGGUCUUUGAAAUUAUUGAGCCACCCAUGCCUAGCCACCAACUUUGUACUAGGGGUGCUGUAUCUUUCCCUUUACGCCUUCAAAUAGACUGCUAGCCUCUGUCCUUAUCAGCACUUUCCAGUUGAAAUUAGAAGGCAGUAAAGGCGAAAUGACACAAACAACAUGGAAUUAGCGUGGCUGACACACAGAGAUCACAGCAGGUAAUGGAGACAGGUGAGGACCCAGUGAGGGGCAUGGGGAAGGGGCUGUGGAGCUCUGAAGUGCAUUUCCCACAUUUAGCCUUGCACUGGAUGUACAAAUGUCCACAUCUCUAAAAUUAAAUUAUGUACCUUAUGGAGCAAUUUGCAUAAAACAAUUUUGUAUCUGUUGUGUGUUUCAUAACCUGCGGUACAUCUGUACAUUUAUAGAUUUUAAAAAAUAGUAUAUAUCCUGCUUUGUAACAUGCUUUUUUUGUUGGCACAUGCCUCUUUAUGUCCAUAAAUAAAUACAGACGUCAUAAUUGCCGAUGACUACAAAACCCUCUGCUGUGUGUAUCUAUAAGAAUUAUUUAAACAGUUUCCAGUGAGUGGAUCUUCUGGGUGUUUCCAGUUCGGCUUAUAAUGGACGCCUCGGGUUCCCAGGGUUGUGUUCUUUGGUCUGCCUCUGGUUUCAGCCAUAGCUGCAAUGAACAUGGUCAUGAGAGCUCAGACUCACAUGGAAAAGCUAGCAAAGGGGCUUUUCCGAUGCUAAAGAGCCUUGAGGCAAAGGAGAGUCUUUCUCCUUGCUCCUAGACAACCUUAAACCAGUGGGGACGGACUGGUGAAUAAAUGCUUCAGGAGACCUUGUGAGUGUUUCGCGAGAGGGCGCUGUGGAGUUGAGUCCCAGCAGCCCAAGGCAUCAGCCUCACUAAGUUUGCUUUUCCCUCUUCCCUACUCUCUCCCUCCUGCUUCCCAGGAUCAUGUUGGAAAUAAACUACCUGUAUCCAGACAAGUCCUAAUCUCUCCUGUUCUGAGCCAAGAUAGGGACUCUGAUAAACAAUGAUGUGGACAAUAUCCUUGAAUGCACAUCUCUGCCGUGGAUCUAGUUAUUUCCUUAAGACAAAUCUCUAGAAAUGCUCAUUGCUGAUCUGGUUAUUUCCUUAAGAUAAAUCUCUAGAAAUGUUCACUGCUGAGUCAAAGGGCAUGGACUUUUAAAAACAAGCUCAAACAAGUGCUCUGUUUAACAGAGCUCUUAACUGUAAGGCGAUUGAUUUUAUUUUAUUUGCCUUUGCCUAUUCAAUCCCAGAGCUAUCAUGAAGCUCUCUUCCAUCAAGAAGCAAAACAUUGAUACUAACUUCCUGUAGUCUUUUAAGCCACCCUCUCCAGAGGCCCCAGAAAUCCCUCCCCGUUGCUGUCCUGCAAACACGAUGAAUGGAAUAGUUGGAAUGCACACCCACUGUCUCUCAAAUAGACAGCUCACUUUAUUGCCUGGUAGUUAUUAAGAAUGAGUAGUAAUUUUGCUGUAGAAAAGACUACUUAUAGGGAAAGUAAGAAACGAGAGAAACAUUCACUCAUAAUUUAACACAAGGAAAUAAAACCAACCAGAAGAUAAAAUGUCUGUUUCUCAAACAGCUCAAUCCUUAUAUCACUAGUAGCACUGGAGCUCUUAAUUAUAGAUAGUAAAGCCUCUGGAUGUUAUUUUUUACCCAACAUCAGUGGUAACAGACGCAUAAGGAACUGCUCAGAGUAGUACAGAAGGAACUCUAAUGCGCAGGCGCUUCGGUGGGGCAGCAGCAAAUGUGCGUGAUCUGGCUAAAGAGGGAACCCAGAAAGGGUGUCAGCUCCAAAUAUGGAUUAGCCACAGCCUUUCCACGAGGGGGAAUGGUGACCAUAUGUUUGCAAGUAUAAUUUACAGAAACAUAUAUGUGAUUAUUUUUUAAAAUAAGUGAACUAUUUAUAAAUCUUAGCCAAUGAAUCUUUGUGACAUCUCCUUUCAGGAAGCCUAAUUUUAAAAGGUAUAUAAAACCGUUCUCCUGGCCAACACUUGCAGGUUCUGCCCGCUUGGAUGGCUUCCCUAAAAAAGGAAAAAACAAACAAAACCAACCUUCCUUGGCUGUGUUUGCCAUCAACAUCAAGAACUGCAGCAAAGGCAUUCUGACUGCUGUUUAUUACUACUGUUUAUUCUGUCAUAAUUACUAUCACCAAACCCACAUGAUUACAGUAUACAGUGAACCCACAUGUUGAAGCUUUCUAGUAUAAUAAAAAUUUCAACUGUUCUGUUGAAUCAUCUGCCUGAUUGGAGGCUACAGAAAAGAUGUCAUCUUAGGAGUGCUUGCUCUGAGUGAGGCUCAUCUUCAAAUCUGAAUGACCACAAGGAGAUUUGAUUAUACAUGUGAACACCUCAGAAGGCACAGCCCACCCAGAAGGCAGACAGGUCAGGCUGCUUUUUCUUCAUUGCUUGGAUUCAAUCCUCCGGGCGGCUCAGGCUCAAACAUAACUUAAGCAUGAUUAAACUUUAGAAGAAGCUGCCAGGAAGACUGUGAAAUCUUCAUGCCCAAGGAUCCCUAAAAUUAGGAGCAACAACCACUUGGCUCAGACGGUUUAUGGAGGCAAAGGUUUGGAUGGGAUUAGAGAUUUCUAAAUGUGAGUUCGUGUCCUCUGCCAGACCACCUUACUUCCACCAUUCCUCAGCAAAUCAAGAAAAACAGGAGAAAAGACAUGCCUUUCCAUAAGUUAAAUCUAUUCUGUUUUAAUUCUAUAUUAUAUCUGCUGUACAACUUCUUUUGUUUGUAACACCAUAUUGUUGCUAGUAACUGGAAAUUAAUUUUCACAUGCCUCAGCUUAGAAAAAUAAAAAGCAGCCCUGCAUCAA